rnacentral:rRNA from 1 species
UACGAAGGGGGCUAGCGUUGUUCGGAAUUACUGGGCGUAAAGGGCGCGUAGGCGGUUUGCCAAGUCAGGCGUGAAAGCCCCGGGCUCAACCUGGGAACGGCGCUUGAGACUGGCAGGCUCGAGUUCGGGAGAGGAUGGUGGAAUUCCCAGUGUAGAGGUGAAAUUCGUAGAUAUUGGGAAGAACACCGAUGGCGAAGGCAGCCAUCUGGACCGACACUGACGCUGAGGCGCGAAAGCGUGGGGAGCAAACAGG